GGGAGCUUGCUCCUCUGGAUCAGUGGCGAACGGGUGAGUAACACGUGAGUAACCUGCCCUUGACUCUGGGAUAAGCGUUGGAAACGACGUCUAAUACCGGAUACGCGCUUCGGAGGCAUCUCCAGGAGCGGGAAAGAAUUUCGGUCAAGGAUGGACUCGCGGCCUAUCAGGUAGUUGGUGAGGUAAUGGCUCACCAAGCCUACGACGGGUAGCCGGCCUGAGAGGGUGACCGGCCACACUGGGACUGAGACACGGCCCAGACUCCUACGGGAGGCAGCAGUGGGGAAUAUUGCACAAUGGGCGCAAGCCUGAUGCAGCAACGCCGCGUGAGGGACGACGGCCUUCGGGUUGUAAACCUCUUUUAGUAGGGAAGAAGCGAAAGUGACGGUACCUGCAGAAAAAGCACCGGCUAACUACGUGCCAGCAGCCGCGGUAAUACGUAGGGUGCAAGCGUUAUCCGGAAUUAUUGGGCGUAAAGAGCUCGUAGGCGGUUUGUCGCGUCUGCUGUGAAAACUGGAGGCUCAACCUCCAGCCUGCAGUGGGUACGGGCAAACUAGAGUGCGGUAGGGGAGAUUGGAAUUCCUGGUGUAGCGGUGGAAUGCGCAGAUAUCAGGAGGAACACCGAUGGCGAAGGCAGAUCUCUGGGCCGUAACUGACGCUGAGGAGCGAAAGCAUGGGGAGCGAACAGGAUUAGAUACCCUGGUAGUCCAUGCCGUAAACGUUGGGCGCUAGAUGUGGGGACCAUUCCACG
rnacentral:rRNA from 1 species